AGGAGCCUAGGGACAAGCU
rnacentral:misc_RNA from 1 species